UGGAUCUCAAAUCAGACAAGGCGACCCGCUGA
rnacentral:rRNA from 1 species